CCCUAGCCCCGAUAGUAGCGGUUACCCCACAGCGGACGCUGGGAAAAGCACUGGCGCGAGGAGUAUGAGCGGGAUAGUAGGAUUAGGU
rnacentral:misc_RNA from 1 species